UACGAAGGGGGCGAGCGUUGUUCGGAAUUACUGGGCGUAAAGGGCGCGUAGGCGGCCCUCUUUGUCGCGUGUGAAAGCCCCGGGCUCAACCUGGGAACGGCGCGCGAAACGGGGGGGCUGGAGUUCGGGAGAGGAGCGUGGAAUUCCCAGUGUAGAGGUGAAAUUCGUAGAUAUUGGGAAGAACACCGGUGGCGAAGGCGGCGCUCUGGACAGUUCCUGACACUGAGACACGAAGGCCAGGGGAGCAAACGGG
rnacentral:rRNA from 1 species